CUUCUUACUUCAUGCUCUACUCUGCCGGUAUUUUUAUUUAGUGCUGCUUCUACUUCUCCAGAGGAUGGUGCUAGGGAAGAACAUACUGAAUCCCUUAGUUCAUGAAAUAUGUUUUCUCAUGUUAGUCCUGUUAUUGUCAUCAUUAUUUCUGGAUUAAAUAACUGAAUCAUUUAAGUCCAACAAACUUUUGAAUCAGGAGACAGAGGAGAUUGAUAUGUACUACACCGACAUUUCUAUUCUACUUUCCUUUUAAUUUCAGUCUUCAGUCAUGAUUCAGACUCUUGUGUUCCUCGGUAUAUGUGUGCACAAUGGGGCCAAUUUAGUCUUACAGGAUUAAUUUUGUUUAGACACAGAGUAGGAUUUUUUCCUUUGAAUUUAACACUGUAUCUAUACAUUAGCAAGAUGAAAACGUUUUCCAUGAACGUUCCAGAACGUAAUGAUGCAUUUUGUGUAUUUUCAUUUAAUUUAUAAUUAUCGUUCUACACAUUAAGUAAUUAUGUGGCCUUCCAAAGUUUUAAGACUGCCCGUCUCGUGUCGUCUUACACGCGUCUUUGAGAUGAAAUCACCGGAAAUAGCAAUUUUGGAUAGGCAAUUUGACUUCCAUUGAAGCAAUCUCCCGGCGCUGUCCUCCCUCUCGGGCCGCCAUAUUCUUCCUCCCACGCCACUUCCCUCUCACCUGACGCCCAGAUGGUAGCGGGGCUCGCCGGACUAGGGGCAGGGGGGCUGCGCCGCGGUGCUCACCGGGAUGAGGGGCCGAGCGAGCUGCAGGAGGGCAGCCGCAGCAGGGUUCCGGCUGGCUCCGGCGUCCACAUGGACCUACACAAAAGCAGUCAGAAGGAACUCAACUGUGAAAUGACACCAGAACCCCUGCUGCAGGAGAGUCUCUGUUUCCUGAAGUUCGCUUGGCUGACUUCACUGGGCCAUUAUCCCUGAAGUGUUUGCAGAGGCCAACGGCUCCUAAGGAGUUUAGCAUAUCCUGGCAUGGAAUCAGUACCUUCAAAAUGGUUCAGAAUGUACAGAUCUCAACACCGGAUGAAGGAUAACAUUACACCAGUAUUAUGCUGUAGCAUGAAGAUGGGAAGUGAGAAUGUCAUUUUCCAGUACUGUCUGCCAUCAGCCAACCUAGAGUUUGAAGGAGCCCAGAGUAGAUGGAGCCUUGAAUCCCCAGGGAGGUUCUCUCUGCACCUUUGCUUAUCAGCACAUGGAGCUCUAAAAUGGCUGCUCCCUAGGCUCCUGAAAGGCCCAGCAACCAAGUUCUAUCCCACCAGAUGGGCUUCUAAUGUCUUUUGCAUGAGGAAGAAAGAAAAGUGAAUGGGGGAGUACAUGAUGCUUCUGUGAGAGUAAAAAAACUAACAAGCCACCACCACCACCAAAGUUAUGUCUAAUAUUUCUCUUGAAAUCUAGUGACACAAUUUUUUCACGUUAUUCUUGGAUGGAAGAACUCUUCUUCUUUUGCCUUUCAGUCUAGGUAUUUGUUUAAAUUAAUUAUUAUGCAGUGCUUAAUUAGUUGACUGACUCCAGUGAUCAAGUUUGCCUUCGUAACAUUUAACAAUUGACAUUUAUAAUCUAAAUGUAAGCUAAAGUUAAGCUUUAACUCAACAUACCCCAUAAUCCAAAAUAGAAUAUUUUGGUUAGAAAUUUGGAUUUUCAAAAUCAAAGUUUAAAAUAUUUCCAUCGCACCUACUGUGAAUUUAACUUUAAUCUUAGUCAUUUGAACAACCGGAAUUUUAAGGAAUUUGAUGGAUUUUUUAACCAAAUUUUUCUUGGACGGUUUAUUUCUUUUAUUUUGUAAGUCAGGUUUAUUGAAGUAUAACUUAUGAACUACAAAAUUCACCCUUUUUGUAUACAGUUUUGUGGGUUUUGACAAACAUACUUGGUUUGUGGAGUUGUCUUAUUCCCAUCCUUUUUCCUCCUACCUAUUACCCUUCCUUACCCUACCCAACACUUUUGAGAAUAUUUGAAGUAAAUGGAUAGGUGUUCUUACAAAUUUCAUAGCAUUAUACUCAAUAUGAAAAUAAAAUGUUCCUUGAUAGACA
rnacentral:lncRNA from 1 species